GGCGAGGUCGCGCGGAUCUUCAGAGAUUAGAGUUUGAUCAUGGCUCAGGACGAACGCUGGCGGCGUGCUUAACACAUGCAAGUCUACGAGAAUAAGGUAGCAAUAUCUUUAGUAAAGUGGCGCACGGGUGCGUAACACGUAAGCAAUCUACCUUUAGGUAAAGAAUAACUCCGAGAAAUCGGGGCUAAUACUAUAUGAUGCAGCGGCAUCGCAUGAUGAUGUUGUUAAAGUUGCAGCAAUGUAACGCCUAUAGAUGAGCUUGCGUCUGAUUAGCUAGUUGGUAAGGUAACGGCUUACCAAGGCUACGAUCAGUAGCUGGUCUGAGAGGAUGAUCAGCCACACUGGAACUGAGACACGGUCCAGACUCCUACGGGAGGCAGCAGUGAGGAAUAUUGGGCAAUGCCCGCAAGGGUGACCCAGCAACGCCGCGUGGAGGAUGAAUGCCGUAAGGUUGUAAACUCCUGUUAGAGGGGACGAAAUAUUCAGCUUCGUAAGAAUCUGAAUUUGACUGUACCCUCAGAGAAAGCCCCGGCUAACUACGUGCCAGCAGCCGCGGUAAUACGUAGGGGGCAAGCGUUGUCCGGAUUCACUGGGUGUAAAGGGCGCGCAGGCGGGUUAAUAAGUCAGAGGUGAAAUCCUACAGCUCAACUGUAGAACUGCCUUUGAUACUGUUAAUCUUGAGUUCGGAAGAGAGAGACGGAAUUCCAGGUGUAGUGGUGAAAUACGUAGAUAUCUGGAAGAACACCAGUAGCGAAGGCGGUCUCUUGGUCCGAUACUGACGCUCAGGCGCGAAAGCGUGGGUAGCAAACAGGAUUAGAUACCCUGGUAGUCCACGCUGUAAACUAUGAAUACUAGGUGUUGGUCCCAUUGGGGUCAGUGCCGCAGCUAACGCAUUAAGUAUUCCACCUGGGGAGUACGAUCGCAAGGUUGAAACUCAAAGGAAUUGACGGGGGCCCGCACAAGCAGUGGAGCAUGUGGGUUUAAUUCGACGCAACGCGAAGAACCUUACCUGGGCUAGAAAACAUGGGAACCUGGCAGAAAUGUCC
rnacentral:rRNA from 1 species